rnacentral:lncRNA from 1 species
UGCCUCGGCCUCCCAAAGUGCUGGGAUUACAGACGUGAGUCACUGUGCCUGGCCUGGAUGGAACAUUCUGCUCUUUCUCCAUCUGCUGCCUACCCAUGAUGUCUUGGGACUCCUAGAACCCUAAAGGAAGCCCCUGGACACGCAGGAAGGUGAUCCAGAAUUACUCCCGAACUCUACCAGCUGAAAUCCUCCUCAACUCACAUCAGACAAGACGGCCCUGCCACUUACCUGUCAGAUCACUUUGGGCAGUUUACAGGAGAGAAGAUGCAGCCUGGGAGAGAUGCAGCAGGUGUCUGAGGCCACACAGCAAGUCACCCAGGGCCAGGAUCUGAAGCUGGGUCUCUCCAGCUCCACUGCCUGGGCACUUUCUCCUCCACAGCGACCUUCAGGUCAUCAUGAGGAGCCUUUCGGACUAAAGCUAGAGAGCUGGGAUUCCAACAGUUCAGCAACCCAUGACUUCUCCAUGGCAGCUGCUGCCUGACCACCUAGUGCCUUUCCACUAAGAUUGUUCCUUCCCUCUCCUGAAGAUUAUCCUCCUGCCCCUCUCUCCCAAACAUCUGCGGUGUGCACCUGCUGCCCAAAGUUGAACUUUUUUUUGUUAGAGACAGGGCCUCACUGUGUCAUCCAGGCUGGAGUGCAGUGGCGUGAUCAUAGCUCACUGCAGCCUCCAACUCCUGGGCUCAAGUGACCCUCUCACCUCAGCUUCCUGAGUAGCUGGGACUACAGGCAUGCACCACCACGCCUGGCUAAUUUUUAAAUUUUUUGCAGAGACAGGGUCUAGCUAUGUUGCCCACCCUGGUCUUGAACUCCUGGGCUCAAGCAAUCUGUCUGCCUUGGUCUCCCAGCUCGCUGGGAUUACAGGCAUGAAUCACCAUGCCCGGUCCUCCAAAGUUGAACUUUUGAGACUCAGUUUCCUUCUUGGUAAAUUCAGGCUCCUAGGUGCUACCUCCUCAGAGACAUCCUCCUUGACCACAUCACAUGACCUCUCGCAGAGGCCAGAUUCUUUAAUGUAUUCAUUUGUCUAUUAUCAUGUUUCCCCAGUAGAAGUUGCACAAACGGCAGGGGCUUCAUCUGUUUUGUUUGCCGUUAUGUCCUUAGCACCUAAAAUUGUGCCUGGCACAUAUAGUACUCAGUAUGUAUUUGCUGGGUCAAUGAGUGAGUGAAUUUAUACUAAUAACAGCAGCUACCAUUUCUAGAGUGUUUACCAUAUAUUGGGCACUGUGUCAAUCUUCCCAACAACCCACAGACGAAGAUCAAUUAUUACACCCAUUGUACAGAUCAGGAAACUGAGUCAGGUUAAGAAACUUGCCCUAAAUCCUACAGUCUCACUUAGAACUUCUGACUGCAGUGCUCAUCAGAAUGCAUUGUCAACCCAAAGGUCAUUUCCAGCUCAGGUGGCUUCUAUCAAAAGAGCUCAUCCUGGCCUUUCCAAGAGCCAGACCUCCGACAUCGGUGGAGCCCUGUGCAUAGCUGGCCUCUCCUGGGCGUCUUGUCCCAAGUACAGAGACCUGGAUCCUUUCCCACUCAUGUGCAACAGCCCAAAAUUAAAAACAAAAGCCAUAUUAAAAAACAAAACCAACUUUCUGCCUUAAAAUAUUGUGAGCCAGGGGGCAAUUAGCAAUUAUGCUGUAUUUUAUUAUGAGAAGAUAGAAUUCUAAUUGGACUGAUUUGAAUUCCACACACCUCCACAGAUUGUUUUGGGAAUUAAGGUAUCAGUUGUAUCGGUAAUUAUGGUUUACCAUUCAAUUACCCCCCCACAGAAAACUGUUAAAUUGUCUGUGACGGGGCUUAAAUUUAGCUCAGACCUAUGUCCUAUGAAGACUGCGCGAGUCAAUACAAGCCAUCCGGAAACCACCGGGUGCCCUGUGCCAGGCGGUAAUUAGGGGUUGAGGUUUCCAAAGUUUUACCUGAGACAGCAGGGACAAGUGCCUGGGCUGGGCGUGCUCACGUGGGGGGGCUUGGAUGCUCCCCCAGCACAGUGCUCUUGGCUCCUGCCCUGCGUUGCUGGUGCAAUAGCUGAUCAUCUGGAAGACAAUGUGGUUUCAGCCGCAAGUGACAUUUUGGCGAGGUGCACCAGCAUAGAAGCCCUGAGACAGCGAGGGACCAUGUAAAACUCACGGACAUUGUAAUUGGACACAUCUGGGAUUGAAUUCCCACUCUUCCACUUAGGGAGUGAACUUGAGAGGGCCACUUAAUAUCUUUGAGCCUCUGUUUCCCCACCUGUCAAAUGGGUACACCUCCUGCCUCACACACGGGUUAUUGUGAAGAUGGAUGGAGAAUAAUAAUGGUGCCUGGCCCAAA